GGUGCGGUGGGAGGGAAGGGGGGCCUUGCCGAACAGUGGCAUUGGGCGCUUCAGGCAGGAGGCAGGCAGCGAGAUCUCGGGUGUGGAGCCCUGCCCUAUUAUUGCAGGAGUGUCAGGAGCACGCUCUGGAGGCACACACACGAGUGUGUCUUUCCCCAGUGUCAGCUUUAUUCAAUCACGAAGCAAAGUAAAUCACGAUUAGAAAGUAGGUUCAGGAUUCCAGACUCGAUGAUAAUUCACAUGUGGUUAAACUUGGCUUCUUACACAGCACACAAAGCAGGGGAGAAGACGAACCA